rnacentral:rRNA from 1 species
GAUGAACGCUGGCGGCGUGCCUAAUACAUGCAAGUCGAGCGAACAGACGAGGAGCUUGCUCCUCUGACGUUAGCGGCGGACGGGUGAGUAACACGUGGAUAACCUACCUAUAAGACUGGGAAAACUUCGGGAAACCGGAGCUAAUACCGGAUAAUAUAUUGAACCGCAUGGUUCAAUAGUGAAAGACGGUUUUGCUGUCUCUUAUAGAUGGAUCCGCGCUGCAUUAGCUAGUUGGUAAGGUAACGGCUUACCAAGGCGACGAUGCGUAGCCGACCUGAGAGGGUGGUCGCCCACACGGGAACUGAGACACGGACCAGACUCCUGCGGGAGGCAGCAGUAGGGAAUCUUCCGCAACGGGCGAAAGCCUGACGGAGCAACGCGGCGUGAGUGACAGAGGUCUUCGGAUCGUAAAGCUCUGUUAUUAGGGAAGAACAAAUGUGUAAGUAACUAUGCACGUCUUGACGGUACCUAAUCAGGAAGCCACGGCUAACUACGUG